ACAAGGUAAGAUAGUUGGUUUGUCAAGGUGUAUGUUAUUUUUCGAAAUAAUAUUUUGAGACAGUGAAAUAGUUGAAAACUUUUCAACAACAUUUAUUCAUAAAUUGGAAAUGGAAAACGAAUUGUACUUAAAGAGGUACUCUGUCAAACAAAAUAUUCUGAGCAUCCACAUAGCAUUAUGCCAUCAAGACCGGUUCCACUAUGGCAAGCUGAUGCAUGGGGAUGGGCAAAAAACGGAUAUUAACCGGGCCGUGGUAUGUUUUUUCACUGAACAGGGUACCAAUAAUAUGUUCACUCCGCUCCGAAACUAAAUUCGAUUAAUGGGACAUAGUUACUAAAUGUGUGCGUGUAUCAGUCCAUUUGCGGUGUGGUAGAAAAAAUCUAGUAUCUCCUCCAAGACUAUCAGAUAUUAUACUGCAUUGUACAAAGUUGUAUAAAGAACCGGUUACGAUGUGUAUUCCGAAGCAAACUUACUAUACACGUACAUACGAUAUAGAUACUUAUAUAAUAUGAUUACGUACCUAUUGCGUAAUAUUGUUAUUAACGUGGGUAAGUAUACCCUAUCGCUAUACCUAUGCAUUAUAUUAUAAACGUGUUCAAUACACUGCAUCACGGUUAUGUAGAUAACCGUGAACUGCAUUCAUACAAAAAGAUUUAAGGAUUGAGGUAUUUCUAAUAUAAUAAUAAUGUGUUUAUGUAUAUCGACAUGAUAAUAAACGCGUCGAGAAAACCCUGUCAAAUGACGCAAAACAUCCCUCGCCAACAGCUGAUAAAUAUUAUAUUUUAUCUACGGUAGUAUUCUUCACAGCCUUCAUAAACCAUAUAAGUAAUGUAUUAAAAUAUGUAUGUACAAAAGCUUUAAAUCUAAGACUAGUUGCUUAUAGAAUUGCUCGAGAGCACAUAUUUAAAUCGGUUCAAAGCUAACAUAAUACCAUU